GGAUUGAACGCUGGCGGCAGGCCUAACACAUGCAAGUCGAGCGGUAGAGAGGUGCUUGCAUCUCUUGAGAGCGGCGGACGGGUGAGUAAUGCCUAGGAAUCUGCCUAGUGGUGGGGGAUAACAUUCGGAAACGGACGCUAAUACCGCAUACGUCCUACGGGAGAAAGCGGGGGACCUUCGGGCCUCGCGCCAUUAGAUGAGCCUAGGUCGGAUUAGCUAGUUGGUGAGGUAACGGCUCACCAAAGCGACGAUCCGUAGCUGGUCUGAGAGGAUGAUCAGCCACACUGGAACUGAGACACGGUCCAGACUCCUACGGGAGGCAGCAGUGGGGAAUACUGGACAAUGGGCGCAAGCCUGAUCCAGCCAUACCGCGUGGGUGAAGAAGGCCUUCGGUUGUAAAGUCCCUUUUGGUUAGGGUAAAGAAAAGCAAGUCGGUUAAAUACCCGGUUGUUCUGUACGGUACCAAAGAAUAAGCACCGGCUAACUCGUGCCAGCAGCCGCGUAAU
rnacentral:rRNA from 1 species